GGACCGCACUUCUAAAUAUGCAUUACAUGUCAUGUGAGGCCUUCAAUUACGUAAUCGUGCAUGGGAAGCUCAUGAGGUCCUUAAAGCAGAACAAUACAUGUCAUCUAUGCAACCAACGCACGUCCUCUUUGUUUUUUUAUUUUUAUUUUUAUUUUUUCUUUCAUUUUUUUAAGUAAAACGUAUAACCAACGCAUGUCUUUGGAUGCGUGAUUCAUGGUGGCAAACCCCAACAAGCUCAUGCUGCCAUGUAUCCUGCUAGCAUGAAUUCAUAGUCGAACAACCAUCCUACCAAUAGAUGACCUAAUC
rnacentral:lncRNA from 1 species